AGAUUUAAAUCUGUUUGAAUAGAUCGGUUAAGAGAAAAGUUGCUUCAAUCGAUGUAUAUGUUCUGUUAUGAUGCAUAUUAAUAGUUUAUAGGACUGCUUAGCUGUUUUCCUAUUCAUAUUACCCUUUGUGCUUUGCAUAUAAGCCUUGCAAACGGGUCACGGGUGGACUGGGUCGGGUCAAAACAGGUCGUUUUGAGAAAGUAUUAAUUUGGUUUGGACCAGAACAGUUGUUUUAGGAAAAAGGUAUCAAAAGUUGGGUUCAUCGGCCAUAUUUGUUUUUAAGUGGCGGUCAUGGCAGUGGCAACAGGGAUGAUGGUGGUUGUGUUGGCGGUGGGAACAGGGAUGGUGGUGGUUUUGUAAAACCUCAAUAGAUUGUAGAUCUUAACUCAAUUUCCGGCGACGUAAGUUUCGAUUUUUACAUAGUUUGACCAAUUUGUUCUCUCAAGUGUAUCGUUGAACAACAGUUGGUCUGCACUAUUAAUCGCAUUUUUUAUUUUAUUAUUUUUUUUUUGUUGUUUAGGGUUACAUUGCCUGACGGGACUUUGAAUGAGGGGAGAAGUGGGAAACCCUAAUUUCAUUUCCAAUUUCAAACGCAUUUGCUUCCUUUAUUCCCCAUAUCUCCUGCACUCAAAUCCCUAUGACAAUGAAUACUAGCUUCUGAUGGCGUUUGAUAGUUUGCAGCUGUUAAUCUUAUCUAUUUUUCUGCAAUCACUAAUUUGAUGUGUUUUUCUUUCUUUUUUUUUUGAAUGACCAAUCUUGAUAUCUGGUUAAUCAUUAGAACAUAAAAUCCUACAUAUCUUGAUAUUUGAUUUCGUUUUACAUGUUUUUUUGUGCAAGCUCAUUUUAUAUUUGAUAAGCCUAUAUAAGUUCGGUUGGUUUCACCUUCAAUUUUUGUAAUUUGUAUUUUGUUGUGUGCAAGCUGUUUUCCUACCUUAUGUGUUUGUUUCUGAUAAUUAUAACAUAUACCCAUAUUAUAUGAAUGGUGCUUGAUAUACAUAAAGUUGCACUAAAGGUUACUUAGUGACAUGGCAAUAGUAGCCAGUUCGAUGUUAGCAGUUGUAAAUUUAUAUUUUAAAGAUUAAAUGAACAUUUACAGGAGUCAGGGGGUCAGAUCAUACUUGAUGUUAUUUACACAUUGAAUUUGCUUAUAAGAUGAAUUGAUGAUGAAAGUUUGUUGUGGUGGUUACUUAUACCAGUAUCAGGGAUUUCCAGGUAUGUGAUAUGUUAACGGCUAAUUUUUUUAGAAAUGUUUAUUAUUUAUGCGAUGUACUCAUAUUGUUUGCCCUACCUCCCUAAUUGCCAAUUCAUAAUUUUUUAUACCGAACCAAUUCGCAGUAGCUACCAAGACAUAACUGAUUGAGUAGAAGCUAUUGAUUGAUUCAGUUAAUGCAACAAGGUGCGAUUGUGAAUUUGGUGAUUAGGUAUUGGUAUUCGGCAGUUGGCUAUUGCACUAUUGCACAAGUAAUUUCAUAUUUCAAUGACAGCCUUCCAUGUUAAGUUGUUCGAGAACAGUUUUUUCCAAAUUUGCAUGGCAACUAGAUAGUCCCUGAGCUGGGAGGCGCUUGAGAUGUUUGAUAAAGCAUAUUUUUUUUUUGUCUGAAGCGCUGAUCGACAUAAAGCAUUGUGAGGCGCGCUUGAGGCAUGAGGUGCUAAGGAGCCUGAGGUGGCGCUCCAGUCAAUAUUAGGUCAAAAUCAGAUCGUUACUGCAUUUGGAUUUCCCUACAGUGACAGCUAAAGCCUGUAAGUUGUUUUAUAAUGCCACUUCCACUCCUAACGACCCGGGUAUCAGCUGGCCAGUAAAGAAUCUAUGCACCAAAUGACACAGAUUGUCUAAUAACAGUGGUAUACAUCUAAUAACAGGUGGGCCAGUUAAGGUGUUUCGUGUGCCACCUUAAAUGCUAUUUCAUUUGAAGCUGACCCAUUUCAUAUUUAUUGUGUUUUUUGGCAGAACGAUAUCUAUAUAUGGGUCUUAUCAACAUUUAUUUUGUUGGUUGCUCUGCCAAUGUGCUUUAAUAAUAUAAUUUCCCAACUUAGCGGGCGUAAGAAAACCAACUUUUUUAUUUUCUGAACCCUCCCUGGAUACUGUUAGGGAAAGGUGGAAUAUAAGAUUAGCAAUGUUUAUAUACUCAGAUGUAUACAUGGUUAAGUUAUUAGCUUGACAUCAUGAUGUCCGGUUUCUAAUAUAAUUUGGUUUUAUUAGUUUACAUUUGAUUAAGAUUUGAGUUUGAUUAAAGCUUGCACUAUUAUCCGAUAUAGUUUUUGUAAUUUGGUUAUAUUAGUUUACAUUUGAUUAAAACUUGGGCUUGAUUAACUUUGACCCGUUCCGGCCCAAACUAAGUUAUUUAGUUUAGAUUUUUAUAUCUAUAAUACUUUGUUUCAUCUCAGGCUUUAAUGCAAUAUUGAUUACAAUUAUGUUUAACAGAAACAAGAAGAUGGCUUAUGCAGCACUGAAAGUAUUGAUUCCCUUUCAUUGUUAGGGCAUCUAAUCUUUUGUUUCACGUUUUUAGCAUAAGCCAAGAAAGUAUUUGUUCUAUCAUGCGUGAAGCUCUCGCCUUGCGCCUAGGCAAUUGGCACGAAAACGCUUAGGAGCGCCUCAAGGUUUUUUAAACCACGAAUCCAACGCAAGGGAUGAAAAUGACAAACAUACAUCACAAAAGAAUUCUUCGAGCUUUUGAAAGCAUAGAAAGCAUAGAAUUUACUCCGGAAAUUGUGCACUUGACAAGAUUAUGACGUUCGACUAAAUAGAUAGUUGCAACAAGUGUAUAUCUUGCCAGCUGGAAGCUAGAUCAGUCGUGCCACCAUGGGGAGUUUUCUGUAAUUUUUCAACCCAAAAUGAACUAGCUGGUUCAUAGGUCAUGGGUCAAAAAGGAUAAAGCAUGCCGGUUGAUUGAAAUGCUUUUUUAUGGGAGUAGGAAAUCUGCAACCAUUUAAGCUUGUGCCAUAGAGCAAGGGUUUCAAGCUAAUUAAGGUCGUGCAAUCUUUGCGAGUGGUAGUCCAUUUGCUCCUGUUGGCUAUAAUGGAAAAAUCUACGUGUAUCUGGCUAGGUCACUACUUCUUAAAGUUUAGUAUUAAAUUAGGUCUAUAAUGUUUUGAUAAAACAUCAAGGUAUGCUUCAAGAAAUUGCCAAUUAGUGUCUGUUUUAUUAGUAUCUUUGACUUUAUAUACAGAAAAUAAUUUGUUUUUUUAACAUGGCUCGAACCAGUGGGUUGAGUCGGUCAGUUUUAAGAACCUGGUAAGUUUUUAUCAACGGGCACCGACAUUUUUUUUUAUUUAUUUCAUCAUUUUAAUCUUACACUAAAAAAAGGUGUGCAUUUCUGAGCUACAUAGUUCUAAAGUUUUAUUAUGGGUCAAAUGAGCGAGCCUUUUAGGACAUGCCAAUCGAUUCGUUAUAUUGCAUGCAAGUAGUUCUAAAGUUUUAUUGUGUGCGUCUUUUUGAGCUCGAUAGUUCUAACGUUUUGUUAAAUGUGUCAAACAGGUAACUGGAAAGUCAGUUUAGUUAAAGAGGUAGUCAGGUAGAACUAUCAUUUUCUAUUAAACGGUUGAGUAGGUUAUAUCUGUUAAAUGAACAGUUUUGUUACAAGGGUCAUUUUCUAUUAAACUUGUGAGUUUUUAUAAAAGAAAUGGUUUUUUUAACACGACUUGAAUCAGUGGGUUUCUAAAUCUGCUCAAGGUGAAUACUAGACUAAGCAUGUUCAAUGACCGGGUCAACGGGCAUGUGCAAGCUACAAGUCUUAUAGCAUAAGCAUGGAUUGAAAUUCUGAUACCCAGGUGAGUUACUCCUAUGUGUUAUUUUGACUAAAAAGUCAUAGGUCGUAAUGAUUGGGUCAUCUGGAAGAUGCGGGCUAGGAUCCUAUGGUUAAAUAAGUCAGAAUUAAAAGGGAAGAGUUUGGGCUGUAGGUACAACUGUAUAUAAAUAUGGUACAACGUUUUUAGCAGUCGCAAGAAGCAGACGAGAAUUUACACAUGCCGAUUUUUACACAUGGCGAAAAACGUUUAUAUGGAGUUGCUACCUUUUUGUCUCUAAUACUUUAAAUUCAUUUACAUUUAUUCAAUUAUUUGAUC